GCAAAAGCAAGGAGAGAGGGCUGGCAGAAAGUUGCUGACAAAUUAAACUCCCAGAGUAAAAGCUUCUGCAAAAACUUUUCUACUGUGUCUUCUAUGAGGACAUAGAGGACUUCAGCAGAAAUGGGACGCUUUGAGCCCUCUACUAAUUGUGGAGUCCUGGAGAUGACUGUGUCUGAGAGGGAUCUACCCAUUAGAGGCUUGGCGUAUGUCGAGAAGGGGAGCGAUGAGCCUCUGUACUCUGGGGACCAGCUGUUGCAGUGUCCAGAGUCAGAGGAGAGUGAGAAGGUGAGAGGAGACGUGACAGAGGAUCUCCACCCUUGAUUAGACACCAGGACAGAUCCAGGACAGUGUGUGAGGAGGAGAAAAAGGAGCCAGCAUCAGCUGAGAGAUAUAGAGGAGAACAGGGGGACAACAGAUAGCUCUCUGUAGUUGAGGGACUGGUAAAAACAUUGAAAACAGUUUUUAGAUACUUUUGCAAAUACAGGACACCCAUAUCUCCAACACAAACUGUAACAGCUGCAUACAGGGAGCCACUCACUGAUGUUUAUCCUGCAGGACAGGAUCUGACAGGGAAAGAAGGAAAAAUAAGGGAACCAUGGACAAGUUUGAUAAUGCUUUGAUUUAUCCACAAUAUAUUCAGCUCAAAUAUUGUUUUCAUCACAGUGGCAUUGUGCUGGUUUCAGUGGGAAAAGUGUGCAGCUCUUUAAAUACAAAGUUCGAAGAGCUGUGAAAAGUUGUCCAUUCAUAAAGUGUGUCAGUAUUUUAUAAGGAUGUCAUAUUUCUGUAUUAUCUCUCUCCUGUUAGAGCCUCUUACCCAGACAUCAGCCUGUUUAAUGCUCUCAUAUCUUCAACAUCUUAAGUAAAUUAUACUGCACAGUUUUCUCUCCAAUAAAAGAAUAUUUACUGC
ensembl:lncRNA